UACGUAGGGUGCGAGCGUUGUCCGGAUUUAUUGGGCGUAAAGAGCUCGUAGGCGGCUUGUCGCGUCGAAUGUGAAAACUCGGGGCUCAACUCCGAGCUUGCAUUCGAUACGGGCAGGCUAGAGUUCGGUAGGGGAGACUGGAAUUCCUGGUGUAGCGGUGAAGUGCGCAGAUAUCAGGAGGAACACCGGUGGCGAAGGCGGGUCUCUGGGCCGAUACUGACGCUGAGGAGCGAAAGCGUGGGGAGCGAACAGG
rnacentral:rRNA from 1 species